UACGUAGGGUGCGAGCGUUAAUCGGAAUUACUGGGCGUAAAGGGUGCGUAGGUGGUCUAUUAAGUCAGUGCUGAAAUAUCCCGGCUUAACCGGGAGGGUGGCAUUGAUACUGAUGGACUUGAGUAAAGUUGAGGUUGGCGGAAUUGACGGUGUAGCGGUGAAAUGCUUAGAUAUCGUCAAGAACACCUAUUGCGAAGGCAGCUAACUAAGCUUUAACUGACGCUGAGGCACGAAAGUGUGGGGAUCAAACAGG
rnacentral:rRNA from 1 species